UGGGGAAUUGUUCACAAUGGGCGCAAGCCUGAUGACGCAACGCCGCGUGGAGGAUGAAGGUCUUCGGAUUGUAAACUCCUGUUGCUCGGGACGAAAUGCUUCAACCUAAUACGUUGAAGUUUGACGGUACCGAGUGAGGAAGCCCCGGCUAACUCUGUGCCAGCAGCCGCGGUAAUACAGAGGGGGCAAGCGUUGUUCGGAAUUACUGGGCGUAAAGGGCGCGUAGGCGGCCUGUUAAGUCGAACGUGAAAUCCCCGGGCUCAACCCGGGAACUGCGUCCGAAACUGGCAGGCUCGAAUCCGGGAGAGGGAUGCGGAAUUCCAGGUGUAGCGGUGAAAUGCGUAGAUAUCUGGAGGAACAUCGGUGGCGAAGGCGGCAUCCUGGACCGGUAUUGACGCUGAGGCGCGAAAGCCAGGGGAGCAAACGGG
rnacentral:rRNA from 1 species